GCCGGGAUGGCGGAACUGGCAGACGCACGGGACUUAAAAUCCCGCGGUGGUGACAUCGUGUGGGUCCGAUUCCCACUCCCGGCACCA
rnacentral:tRNA from 1 species